rnacentral:rRNA from 1 species
AGUGAACGCUGGCGGUAGGCCUAACACAUGCAAGUCGAACGGCAGCACAGUAAGAGCUUGCUCUUACGGGUGGCGAGUGGCGGACGGGUGAGGAAUACAUCGGAAUCUACUUUUUCGUGGGGGAUAACGUAGGGAAACUUACGCUAAUACCGCAUACGACCUACGGGUGAAAGCAGGGGAUCUUCGGACCUUGCGCGAUUGAAUGAGCCGAUGUCGGAUUAGCUAGUUGGCGGGGUAAAGGCCCACCAAGGCGACGAUCCGUAGCUGGUCUGAGAGGAUGAUCAGCGACACUGGAAGUGAGACAGGGUCCAGACGCCUACGGGAGGCAGCAGUGGGGAAUAUUGGACAAUGGGGGGAAGCGUGAUCCAGCGAUACCGCGUGGGUGAAGAAGGCCUUCGGGUUGUAAAGCCGUUUUGUUGGGAAAGAAAAGCAGCAGGUUAAUACCCCGCUGUUCUGACGGUACCGAAAGAAUAAGCACCGGCUAACUUCGUG